CCCAUAUCACAUUGAAACACUGGUUCCUGUACGAUCACCAAAGUUAAGCAACAUCUAGUCUGGUCAGUACCUAGAUGGGUGACCACUUGGGAACACCAGGUGUUC